rnacentral:rRNA from 1 species
UACGGGGGGGGCAAGCGUUGUUCGGAAUUACUGGGCGUAAAGGGUGCGUAGGCGGUUCACUAAGUUGGAUGUGAAAACUAUGGGCUCAACUCAUAGCUUGCAUCCAAUACUGAUGGACUAGAGUUCUGGAGGGGGUAGCGGAAUUCCUGGUGUAGCGGUGAAAUGCGUAGAUAUCAGGAGGAACACCGGUGGCGAAGGCGGCUACCUGGACAGAGUCUGACGCUGAGGCGCGAAAGCUAGGGGAGCGAACGGG